rnacentral:rRNA from 1 species
AGUGAACGCUGGCGGUAGGCCUAACACAUGCAAGUCGAACGGCAGCACAGUAAGAGCUUGCUCUUACGGGUGGCGAGUGGCGGACGGGUGAGGAGUACAUCGGAAUCUACUUUUUCGUGGGGGAUAACGUAGGGAAACUUACGCUAAUACCGCAUACGACCUACGGGUGAAAGCAGGGGAUCUUCGGACCUUGCGCGAUUGAAUGAGCCGAUGUCGGAUUAGCUAGUUGGCGGGGUAAAGGCCCACCAAGGCGACGAUCCGUAGCUGGUCUGAGAGGAUGAUCAGCCACACUGGAACUGAGACACGGUCCAGACUCCUACGGGAGGCAGCAGUGGGGAAUAUUGGACAAUGGGCGCAAGCCUGAUCCAGCCAUACCGCGUGGGUGAAGAAGGCCUUCGGGUUGUAAAGCCCUUUUGUUGGGAAAGAAAAGCAGCAGGUUAAUACCCCGCUGUUCUGACGGUACCCAAGGAAUAAGCACCGGCUAACUUCGUG